UACGUAGGGCGCGAGCGUUGUCCGGAUUUAUUGGGCGUAAAGAGCUCGUAGGCGGUUUGUCGCGUCGUUCGUGAAAACUCACAGCUCAACUGUGAGCUUGCGGUCGAUACGGGCAGGCUAGAGUUCGGUAGGGGAGACUGGAAUUCCUGGUGUAGCGGUGAAAUGCGCAGAUAUCAGGAGGAACACCGGUGGCGAAGGCGGGUCUCUGGGCCGAUACUGACGCUGAGGAGCGAAAGCGUGGGGAGCGAACAGG
rnacentral:rRNA from 1 species